CUGCCGCUCUUCUCCAAGCUGUGAGCAUCUUUUAUAAAAGACAAAAGCAUCCAACGGGCUGGGCUUAAAGCUACAGGACGUUCAUUCACCAUCCACAUUUGUACUCUCAUUUACAACUAGAGAACAGUUCAAGGAGGUUUACGAAGUCAUUUAAAUGAAAACUGAGCAAAGAAAGACUUCUUGUGCAGAGCACAAGACCCUGAAGUCUUUUUCACUAUGGACAACAGGAAAAAAAAGCGUCUGAAUGAAAAGCAAUAAGCUCUCUGAAGUCUGCUUGACAUCUUCAACCCUGACUAAGCAUAGCAAUGUCAUUAGUGACGGAUUAAUGAAGAGGUUGAAGAGGACCGGAAGCACUUUGCAGCAAUCCAUCAGAGACCGUGUUCCGGGAUGGUGUUUAUCCAAAUCUGUUCUCACAGACACCAACCGCCAUGGAUUUCUACGCAGAAACUGAAAGUCUGCAAAUCAGAGUGUGAGUUCAAAGUUCUGUGCUUCCCCCGUGCCAGCUGACGACAUCUCCAACAGCCACACUGCAUCGGGGAUAAGCAUGUCUGCUGCUUAUUCAUUCAGCAGCGGCAG